rnacentral:rRNA from 1 species
AUCCUGGCUCAGGAUGAACGCUAGCGGGAGGCCUAACACAUGCAAGCCGAGCGGUAGAGAUUCUUCGGAAUCUUGAGAGCGGCGUACGGGUGCGGAACACGUGUGCAACCUACCUUUAUCUGGAGGAUAGCCUUUCGAAAGAAAGAUUAAUACUCCAUAAUAUAUUGAUUGGCAUCAAUUGAUAUUGAAAGCUCCGGCGGAUAGAGAUGGGCACGCGCAAGAUUAGUUAGUUGGUGAGGUAACGGCUCACCAAGACGAUGAUCUUUAGGGGCCGUGAGAGGGUGAUCCCCCACACUGGUACUGAGACACGGACCAGACUCCUACGGGAGGCAGCAGUGAGGAAUAUUGGUCAAUGGGUGCAAGCCUGAACCAGCCAUCCCGCGUGAAGGACGACUGCCCUAUGGGUUGUAAACUUCUUUUGUAUAGGGAUAAACCUACCCUCGUGAGGGUAGCUGAAGGUACUAUACGAAUAAGCACCGGCUAACUCCGUG